CCUACGGGUGGCAGCAGUGAGGAAUAUUGGUCAAUGGACGAGAGUCUGAACCAGCCAAGUAGCGUGAAGGAUGACUGCCCUAUGGGUUGUAAACUUCUUUUAUAUGGGAAUAAAAUGUUCCAUGUGUGGGAUUUUGUAUGUACCAUAUGAAUAAGGAUCGGCUAACUCCGUGCCAGCAGCCGCGGUAAUACGGAGGAUCCGAGCGUUAUCCGGAUUUAUUGGGUUUAAAGGGAGCGUAGGUGGAUUGUUAAGUCAGUUGUGAAAGUUUGCGGCUCAACCGUAAAAUUGCAGUUGAAACUGGCAGUCUUGAGUACAGUAGAGGUGGGCGGAAUUCGUGGUGUAGCGGUGAAAUGCUUAGAUAUCACGAAGAACUCCGAUUGCGAAGGCAGUUCACUGGACUGCAACUGACACUGAGGCUCGAAAGUGUGGGUAUCAAACAGGAUUAGAUACCCUUGUAGUC
rnacentral:rRNA from 1 species